GAUGGGAAAUUUUUCUUGGACUGAGAGCUCUCUCAAGGACAUUAUAUUAGGGGCCCUCUUAGAGGAUGACAACUGCACAUGCCAAUAGAAAAAAUGUGGCCAAAGAUAUUAGUGGGCAGUUCACAAAAGAAUAAAUACAAAUGGCCAAUUUUUAAAAAUUUCAAUCUCACUAUUUAGAGAUAGAAAGUAGACGAAGAUGUAGUAAUUUUCAUGCAUUAGAUAGAUAACUCAAAGCAAACAAACAUACAAACAAACAAAACCUUACAAAAAUACAGUGAAAAGUCUCUCUUCCACUAUCCCAAACUUCAUUUUCCAGAAGCAACUCAUGCUACUGGAUCCUAUGUGCCUUUCUAGAAGGAUUCCUUGUAUAUACAAGCAAAUAUGUGUGUAUGUGUGUGUCUUCAUAAUUAACAUCUUGUUUUUAGGCUUAAGUUAUUUAUUUAUUUAUUUAUUUUGUCUUUUUGUCUUUUUUGUUGUUGUUGUUGCUAUUUCUUGGGCUGCUCCCGCGGCACACGGAGGUUCCCAGGCUAGGGGUCGAAUCGGCGCCAUAGCCACCGGCCUACGCCAGAGCCACAGCAACGCUGGAUCCGAGCCUCGUCUGCAACCUACACCACAGCUCACGGCAACGCCGGAUCGUUAACCCACUGAGCAAGGGCAGGGACCGAACCCGCAACCUCAUGGUUCCUAGUCGGAUUCGUUAACCACUGCGCCACGACGGGAACUCCUAGGCUUAACAUUCCUCUACUUUUCCACCUCCUUUGUGUUACUGCACUAAAGUUUGAGUGACACUGAUACCACAUGUACCGCUAGGGGUAGGUGUGGUCCCUGACCACCAGUGAUUAUGUCAGUGUCAAAUCACCAAUCUUGAGCCAAUCAAAGUGAAGCUUAGGUUUUUAAAAAAAUGAUUUGGGGGGGGGGGUUUCUCCCUCUCUCCAUGAGAUGAAGAAGCCCAGAGCAUCUUACUCACAAGUGGAACCAGACCAGCCAUGUGUUGGAGCAGGUAACGUGGAAGGCAGAGCAGAGAAACUAGGUCUUUGAGGAUGGUGAGGGCCAGGAGGUUAAGGCCACUCUGAAGUUCACUCUUCUCUGGACUGUCAAGUCACCAAGGGAUUUUUUUACAGUGUAAGCCACUUUGUUGGAUUCCUGUUAUUUUCAGCAUCAAGAACUCUAAUUAAUCCAGUAGUCUAUGGUGUGACUAUACCACAUGUAUAUAAUCAACUUCCUUUCAAUGGGUAGUUGGGUUGCUUGCAACCUUUGGCUAUUACAAACAAAGGGUGACAGAUAUUUUUGUACACAUGACUGAGAACAAGCUUGAAUAUAUCUGAAGAAAUUUGAGAAACUAACCAAAUUGCUACCAAAAGAGAAAGAAAAUUUUAGCAGCCAUUUGCAAAUUUCCCGCUGUAUACUUUGUAGCAAUUUUUUUUUAAAUGGCUGCUUCCACAGCACAUGGAAGUUCCCAGGCCAGGGACUGAAUCCAAGCUGCAGCUCUGACCAAUGCCACAGGUGCAGCAAUGCUGGAUCCUUUAACCCAUUGCACCGGACAGGGGCUUGAACCCACACCUCCACAGCAACCUGAACUGGAGUCAUUACUAUCAGAUUCUUAACCCAAGGUGCCACAGGGGGAGCUCCAGUUUGUAGCGAUUUUUACCCAUAUUCACAAAAUACAAAAACGUCUAUUUCUCAAAUACUCGUUGACACAGUACUAUCAAAGGUUUUGAUUAUCAAAGACUUUGUUUCCAGGAGCAAUAUUUAAAGUUGAUAAAGAUCUAAUGAUAUAGGUACUCCUGUAUACUUUCAUUUAAUUACCUACAACCUGUCUGGGAAGCAAUCAGGCAAUAUGAAUCAAGAAAUUUAAAUUCACUUUUUAAACUGAGGUACAAUUGAUACAUAACAUUAUGUAUACACCAUAUUGAUAUAAUGCACUUACAGUUUGCAAUAUAAUGACCACUGUAGCAUUUGCUGACACUUUUGUCACUUCACAAAAUUAUUAUUUCUAUUUUCUGAUGAGAACACUUAAAAUUUAGUCUCUCCACUUUGGGGAAUCUAUCAUGAGGAAAACUUCAAAGAUGUGGAGAAAGGCUUAUACAUAGGAAAUACUGAAUAUUACCAUUAUUAUUAUUGCUUUUAGGGCCACAUCCGUGGCAUAUGGAGGUUCCCAAGCUAGGGGUCGAAUCAGAGCUACAGUUGCCAGCCUACGCCACAGCCACAGCAAUGCAGGAUCCAAGCCCCAUCUACAACCUACACCACAGCUUACAGCAAUGCCAGAUCCUUAACCCACUGAGCGGGGCCAGGGAUCAAACCACAAAAUCAUGGUUCUUAGUUGGAUUUGUUUCCGCUGAGCCACAAAGGGAACUCCCGGGAAAUAUUGAAUCUUAUUUUGAAAAAAUACUGAAAAUAAGAACAAAUUAUAAAAUAAGUUAUGGCUUAUCCGUAGGAUGAAUAUUAUCUAGACAUUAAAUACCAUGUUCUUGAAAAACAAUAAUAGUGAAACAUACUUCUUAUAUAAAGGUAAGUUAAAUAAGCAUUCAUUUAAAGUAACACACUCACAACACACAUGUAUAUACAUUCUCUGUAUUUGACAUGAUGGAUAACAUCUUAUAUAUCUAUCUAUGCAUACAGAUGUUAAAGGAUUUAUGCACCAAAAUAUUCUGGGUUUUUCUUUUCUUGGCAGAGUUAGCAGUAAUUGUUUCUUAAUAUCUUCUUAAAAAUCUUCUACAUUUCUAAAAUUCCAUGUAAUGAACAUGUGUUAUUUUAUAAUCAGGAAAAUGUUCCCUUCUUUUACUAUCCCUUGGCUUCAGCUUGACAAGGAGUUUGAAUUUAAAAUUAAUUGGAUGAAGGGAAAUGAAACUUCAUGAAACUUUCUGGUUCAUGAAACUUCCAAUGUGAAUGAAAAAUGAAUAUGUUCCCUAGCAUUUCUGACACGCUGAUCUUUCUACUUGAGAUCCUCAAUUUUUAAAGUUGUAAUGUCAUGAAAAUAUUCAUUCCCUAUUUCAAAUAUUUCUGCCAAUGCUCCUUCAGAUUUGGGGGCAAAUAAUUUAAUCUAGCAAUCUGAGACUCCAAAGCACAGGACACAUAUGAGAGGAAGUGAACGUUCAAAAUGCAGAAUGAUGUCAAUAAACAGUUUAAUAUUUUAUUCAUUCAGUUUUCAUUUUUUCAUUUCUAGUUGUAUUAUGUACCAUAGUAAUGGGUAAAACAGAUCAUUAUCCUUACAGUGGGAAAAUAGAUAAAUGUAAAGUGUGACUUUGAAAAAUGUCACUAAGGGAGAAUGGCAGCAAAAGGAAGGUCCCAAAAAGUAUGGACUCUGGAGACUGAUGCCCAGGAUGGGUCCCUUCUGUCACAUAUCAGCUGUGUGACUCUGGCCAUAUUAUGUAACCUUUUUGCCCUUAGGUUGCUGAUAUGUAAAACGGAAAUUUUGAAGUAUCUAUUUCAUAGGACCAUUCUAGGUAUGAAUUGAGUUAAUAUUUUAGAUGCCUAUGAUAAUGUUUGACACAAAGUAACCCUCUAGUUGAAUGCUUCCUAAACAAGGGGACAGAAGGAAGUACAGGUAUAGAGAGCAUUUAAUAGGAGAAAUAAAUGACUGGGAUGGCCAGAGAAGCCCUUCCUGCAUGACUGCUGAUCAAAUGUCAAGAGCUCCCCACGUGAAGGGCACGGGGUGAGGGAGUUGAAAAAGAUUAAAGCGCAAUGUGGCGAAAAGUGAGGACAGACAACACAGGGCAUGUCUGGUCACAUUAAAUAUUGGGGGUUUAGUUUCACUAAAGUGUGACAAGGAAGGGGGGAUUUGAUCAAGUUUCUGUUUGGAGUGGAAAAAACUUUCUCUGACUAUAGAGUAGAGAAAACACUAGAAAAGGACAACUGAUAUGAAGGGAAGAUCUGUUAGAAAACAAUUACCAUAUUUCAGAUGAGAAAUACGGUGGUUCAUUUCUGAGGCAAUAGAAGAGAAAAAGGAACACGUUGGAAAAGCGUUGGGAGGAUAAAAGCAUCUUCCUAGUGGUAGCUGAGAUUGAGAAUAAGAGAGGGCAAUGUUAAGAUUAACUGUUUUUGGAGCUACUGAGUCAGGGGCCACUGGGGGAAAAGAGUAGAAUUAGCAAAUAGAGCAUGACUUUCAAUCUAAAUAAGUUGAGUUUGAGGUAACUCUGAAUCACCCAAGUAAAAAUUUUAAGUAGGCAGUUAGUAAUGUGAAUCUGUGACUCAGGGGGAUUGCAAAGCUGGAAUAGAAUAUCAAGUGCUGCUGAAAAGUCAACUAAGAUUGAAUAACAAAUGACCAGAUUCAGCAACAGGGAGGUCAUUCUUGAUCUUUUUUAAAAAUUACAUGAUGGGUAUUAAAACCAAGUUGGAAAAAUUGUAUUUUAAGGUGGGAAAGGGUAAAGGGAUGGAAGCAAGUAUAGAUGGGAAUUUGGAGUAAAGGAAGGAUUGUCAGAAUUUUGUUUUAAUGGAGAAAUUCAAAUUGAUAAGAAGGAUCUCUUUGAGAGGACAAUGUUAAAUAUACAAGACAAAGAAAGUAUAAUCAAUAGCGUAAGAUUUUUGAGGCAGAUAAAUAAAUUAGCCUUAAAGAAAAGAAAGACUUCUAUUGAGACCAAGAGAAAAGGAGGACAGAAUGGUCUCUGAUGUAGGAUCCAGAGCCUCCAGUGUAUUAGCCCCAUCUUGUUCAUCUUGACCAAUCAAACAUAAGGCCAUUGAGAUGAUGGAUGCACGUGAUGUUCCAUAGGCUCCAUAUCUCAUCAUACUCUAUUAUGAGUCCUCAUAACUUUCUAUAUCUCUUCCAGCAACAAUGAAACAUCUGGCACAACAGUUUUAAAUAGGGCUACAAUGGGUUUGAGCUUGCACUGAUCUACAAUUAUUCUCUAGGACCCAUCAGUAUCUGAGGAGGCUAGACCAGCAAAUUAACAGGUGAUAAGGAAAUGAUAAGCAACCACUGCCUCUCUUCCUCUGCCAUGCUCUACUAUACUCUUGCCCCAGAAUGUGUUAGCCAGUAGGGAUGGAGGAAGUUUCAGAGGUUUCUAUGAGGCCAUCCUCACUAUAUCAUCUCUUACCUAAUAGGCCAAAGACUCAGCGAAAGAAUUAUCCCAACUGCAAGUGUACCCAUCCCAACCAUACAUUUGGGAAAUGGCCACUGAGCAGAUCCACGGAAACCCAUUGGAAACUGGAAUUUAGUCAGAACUCCAUGUAUCAUAUGACCUUUAUAAACUAGGAUUCUAGCAGGGGAGCCAUGAUGAUGCUUUGGCUCCCAAAGCAUCAAAGUCACCUCUUGCUUGUGUCCAAUAAUCCUUGAAAUGUCAAAGCAUUUCCCUCUCCCUGGUAUGCAGUCAUCUUAGUAAAGAAUAUAGGUCCUUUUGGUGAGGGACUGUGAAAUCAUUACAAAACACAAUUUCUAGAGAGCUGCUAUGACCUUCCUCCUAGAAAGGAGGGCACCUUUUAGUCAGUGGGUUCCAGUUCUGAACAUUGGCUUAGGUCCAAGAGCUGAGCAAAGGACUAUGAUUUUUAUUAGACUGGCUUCCCUCCUGCUCUUCUCAUGCUUUCUUUGGAUUAUAGAUGUUAAACAGCACACCUAUGUUGCCUCCAGGGACCCCAUACUCUACUCUACUAAGCCUUCUCCACAACUUCUCAAAAUGUUCUUAAAGUUUACUUAAAUGUGAAACACAUAUCUACCACACCAGUCAGCUAAGAGAAAUGAAUGCAUAUGUUCAUACCAAAGUUUGUAUAUAACUGCUCAUAGUGGCUUUGCAUGUAAUACCCCAAAGCGGAAAAUAACCAAAAUGUCCAUCAAUUUGUGAAUGGAUAAACAAACUGUGGUAUAUUCAUAUUCAGCAAUAAAAUGGACUAUUAAUACAUGAAUUAAUAAAAACAUGAAACAUCACAGAUGAAAAAUUAUGCAACAUGAAAGCAGUCAAACACAAAAGACUGUAUGAUUCUAUUCAUAUAAAUUCUGGAAAAAGCAAAACUAUAAUUCCAGAAAGAUCUGUAAUCACUUAGAGCUAGGUCUUAAAGGAGGGAGGACGGAUUUCAAAGAUGCAUUGGAAAAUGUUACAGUAUUAGAAAUAUUUUAUAUCUUGAUUAUGGU
rnacentral:lncRNA from 1 species